GGACAGUGGACCCAAACACAACUUGUUAUUGCCUUGUACUAGUGACUAGAAGUAAAACUGAGAAGAAAGAAAAAUGAAAUUGUGUAGUUUUACUCCACUGUCUAAAUACUAAGAUGAGAACACUGUAUGAUAUUCACAUCCUGUCACACUGGCAAAAGCAGAUUAAAUUACAGGAACAGGCUAAAUAAUAAUAAAAGCAGGAUGAGAAAUUACUAUUUGGCUGAAAUGAAGUUACAUAAAUGUUAACUUUUGGAGUUUCCUGAAUUCAACAGGUACUCCCUACCGCAUCUCACUUAUCAAGACAAUGCUUAGAAGAGGACAAAAUCGGGCAUACCACUGAGAACUUCAAAACCAAGAGAUGGCUUUCUUCUUACUCUUUUUUUUUUUCCCAUUGGGGAUGAGUUAGAGUUAUAUCCUUUGAGGAGAUUACUUGUAUGCAAACCCAUUAUUUACAUGUGCUUGUUCCUUUUCUGUUGUUGUUGUUUAGGAAGGGAGUAUUCAUCCAUAUCACUCAAAGAAAUAGCUUUCAGAUAAUGAUUAUGAAUACCGAACAAGUUUCUCUUAAGAGUGUUUUUUAUGCUCUAAAGAAAAAAACAUACUUCUGACUAAAUUAUGUUCGUCAAAAAAAGGCUAGGCCUACACACAUAGGGGAAGGAAAACCAUUACAACUUAUGUACUCAUCUUUAAGCAUUUUACAUCCUGAAAGAUUGCAAAAGAAGGAUAAGUGAAAUACACAGUUUGCCUUCAUAGAUUUGAUUUAAAUGAGUAACUUUUUAAGCCUUGUUCUAAUUCAUGAAGGCUUUGCAAAUAAAACCUCACAUUGUCCUGAAUAAAGAAUGGACUUUUAAUUUAAUUUCAGCUGAAAAUGACAAAUCUAACUCCAAUUUUGAGAGUUUUUUAAGUAGUUGCAAUAAAACUGGUUUGAUCAUUUUUAGCUGUUGAAUAUGAAAAUGAAACAAAAUCUAUUUCUUUGUCUGCUUUCUAACUUCGGAACGUGGAACACGUAAUUAUGAAGAAAGUAGUACCAUGUCUCUUUCAAAGAUAACAAGUUCUGUAACUUGCUUUAAAAGCAGUCUAAUUCUGAAGGGAAAUUGUUACAAUAGCUGUAAAAGUAAACAUUUCAUAUGUAAUUUGUGGUAUUUUUGUCCAUUACCUGGGGAUAUAUUUAAUAAGCUUCUGAACCACAACAUUUUACAUACAUAUUUAGUUUAGAAUUCUGUAAAUAUGUCUGUGUUAGUACACACUACAAAUAUUUCUGUUUGACUUUCUUAGUGUGAAAAAGUGGAAGCAAAGUUGUAAACAGGAUGAAACUAAAUGCUAUUUCACUCUUUUUAGAAGUAAGUUGCCACAUGUCACAGGCUAACACCAUUGUACCAAAGUGUAUUAACCUGCAAAGGUAUGCAAAGACAAAAGGAAAGGGGAAUGAUUGAAUAAGAUAGAAAUUUGAGAUGCUGAGUUUUUGGUGAAGAUGGCUUUGAAAGGGCUUGCUAAAAGUGAUAAGUAGCAGGGUUGAACAUUGUUCAAAGUAACAAGCAACCCUGAAUUGACUACAGAAAAAGACAUUUCAGAGAAUAGUUUUUUCUUGCUAUAAUAUGCUAAAUAGUGUUUUAUUAAAAUAGAAGACAAACCAGUGUAACAAUGCCUAUUGUUAUUAGAUAAGCUGUAAUGUUGGGAGUCCUAAUGUAGAUGGGUCUUCAACAAUCUAUGAACUGAUGAUGUGAUCUAUCAGUCGAGAAUUUGGAAGGUUUUGAUGUUCUAACCAAACCUGACACUCUUAAAAUGUUGAAACUUAGUAAACUUAAAAACUUAUUUCCCAUCCACUUUUGUAAAGUUCUUUGCAUUUUCAGUGUUCUAUCAAGAUUGACCUUGAUGAGUAGAGUCUGGGUAGACACUGAUGCACAACCAACAUGUUACUCUUCUAAUCUUUUAGUCUGGAUAGCAGUGCUGAUGAUAUUUGCAAGGCAACGGAACAUUUUGAAGUUUGUUCCUUCCCUGUCUGUCAGAAGCUUUCAGUAUGACAGCAGUAGAUGUCUGUGUGAUUUUUCCACACUGUAUCCAGGAACAAGAGAAAGGCCUCAGAAAUGAAAAGCAAACUAUCACAAAAUAUAUUACCACAGAGACUUUCAGUGAGAUCAGGAGCUAGAUAUACUUGAAGAAAACAAGUUUUAAUCAUUUUUAAUCCACAACCACCAAGUAUCUUGUAAGGUGCAUAUUUAAGGAAACCAAAUAUGCAAAGUAAUGUGCACACUGAGUUAAAAUCCAAUUCUGAAUUUCCCCAGAUUUCUGUAAGAUGAUGCUACGUGACAUAGGCAACCCUUUUUUUUCUGCUUAAGAGCGGAUGAACAAUAUAUACGAGAGAUGACAGUGAUAAGCUCAUCCUUAAA